rnacentral:rRNA from 1 species
UACGAGGGGAGCAAGCGUUGUUCGGAUUUACUGGGCGUAAAGGGCGCGUAGGCGGCGUGACAAGUCACUUGUGAAAUCUCCGGGCUUAACUCGGAACGGUCAAGUGAAACUGUCGUGCUAGAGUACAGAAGGGGCAACUGGAAUUCUCGGUGUAGCAGUGAAAUGCGUAGAUAUCGAGAGGAACACCUGCGGCGAAGGCGGGUUGCUGGGCUGAUACUGACGCUGAUGCGCGAAAGCCAGGGGAGCGAACGGG